UCCUGGAAAAAAGCAUGUGCGCCUGAAAAAAAAAAAAAAAAAAAAAAAACGGAAAAUUAGG
rnacentral:ribozyme from 1 species